UAGGGAAUCUUCCGCAAUGGGCGAAAGCUUGACGGAGCAACGCCGCGUGAGUGAUGAAGGUCUUCGGAUCGUAAAACUCUGUUAUUAGGGAAGAACAAAUGUGUAAGUAACUAUGCACGUCUUGACGGUACCUAAUCAGAAAGCCACGGCUAACUACGUGCCAGCAGCCGCGGUAAUACGUAGGUGGCAAGCGUUAUCCGGAAUUAUUGGGCAUAAAGCGCGCGUAGGCGGUUUUUUAAGUCUGAUGUGAAAGCCCACGGCUCAACCGUGGAGGGUCAUUGGAAACUGGAAAACUUGAGUGCAGAAGAGGAAAGUGGAAUUCCAUGUGUAGCGGUGAAAUGCGCAGAGAUAUGGAGGAACACCAGUGGCGAAGGCGACUUUCUGGUCUGUAACUGACGCUGAUGUGCGAAAGCGUGGGGAUCAAACAGG
rnacentral:rRNA from 1 species